rnacentral:rRNA from 1 species
GAUGAACGCUGGCGGCGUGCCUAAUACAUGCAAGUCGAGCGAACGGACGAGAAGCUUGCUUCUCUGAUGUUAGCGGCGGACGGGUGAGUAACACGUGGAUACCCUACCUAUAAGACUGGGAUAACUUCGGGAAACCGUAGCUAAUACCUGAUAAUAUUUUGAACCGCAUGGUUCAAAAGUGAAAGACGGUCUUGCUGUCACUUAUAGAUUGAUCCGCGCUGCAUUAGCUAGUUGGUAAGGUAACGGCUUACCAAGGCAACGAUGCAUAGCCGACCUGAGAGGGUGAUCGGCCACACUGGAACUGAGACACGGUCCAGACUCCUACGGGAGGCAGCAGUAGGGAAUCUUCCGCAAUGGGCGAAAGCCUGACGGAGCAACGCCGCGUGAGUGAUGAAGGUCUUCGGAUCGUAAAACUCUGUUAUUAGGGAAGAACAUAUGUGUAAGUAACUGUGCACAUCUUGACGGUACCUAAUCAGAAAGCCACGGCUAACUACGUG